rnacentral:lncRNA from 1 species
CGGCGAACCCAUGAACUUCGAUUGGCCAAAAAAAAGUAAGCUUUCCCCCUGAACUGAAUCGGUCUGAUUCUCUGAUGAAAAAGAUCAACAAAAUAAUCAAACCCUUUUCUCUACCGUAGGAAUCCAGAAAAGGGUCACUGCGCAAAUCAAUGAAAGCUUCCGGAAUUCCGGCGAUGGUGGUGGGGAGGUGGAGGGGGAUUAAAAUACUAAUAUAUCUGAAUACUAAUAAGCUGAUGUGUAUUAUUAUUCUUGUUGGAUGAUGAUUCGUUGUAAAGGCGGGAAACGGUGG